GACGAACGCUGGCGGCGUGCUUAACACAUGCAAGUCGAACGGAAAGGCCCUGCUUUUGUGGGGUGCUCGAGUUGCGAACGGGUGAGUAACACGUGAGUAACCUGCCCUUGCCUUUGGGAUAACUUCAGGAAACUGGGGCUCAUCCCGGAUAGGAGCUCCUGCUGCUUGGUGGGGGUUGGAAAGUUUCGGCGGUUGGGGAUGGACUCGCGGCUUAUCAGCUUGUUGGUGGGGUAGUGGCUUACCAAGGCUUUGACGGGUAGCCGGCCUGAGAGGGUGACCGGCCACACUGGGACUGAGAUACGGCACAGACUACUACGGGAGGCAGGAGUGGGGAAUAGUGUACAAUGGGCGGAAGCAUGAUGCAGCAACGCCGCGUGCGGGAUGACGGCAAUCGGGUUGGAAACCGAUUCCGCCUGUGACGAAGCGUGAGUGACGGUAAUGGGUAAAGAAGCACCGGCUAACUACGUG
rnacentral:rRNA from 1 species